AGAGUUUGAUCCUGGCUCAUAACGAACGUUGGCGGCGUGGAUUAGGCAUGCAAGUCGGGGGAAUCCCAGCAAUGGGGGAACCGGCGUAAGGGGCAGUAAUGCGUGGGUACCUACCCUGGGGUUCGGGAUAGCCGUCAGAGAUGGCGGGUAAUACCGGAUGACCUCGGGAGAGCAAAGAUUUAUCGCCCCGGGAGGGGCCCACGUGAUAUUAGCUUGUUGGUGAGGUAACGGCUCACCAAGGCGAAGAUGUCUAGCGGGUGUGAGAGCACGACCCGCGCCACUCGCACUGAGACACUGGCGAGACACCUACGGGUGGCCGCAGUCGAGGAUCUUCGGCAAUGGGCGCAAGCCUGACCGAGCGACGCCGCGUGUGCGAUGAAGGCCUUCGGGUUGUAAAGCACUGUCGAGGGGGAGGAAAGCGAAAGCUUGACCUAACCCUGGAGGAAGCACGGGCUAAGUUCGUGCCAGCAGCCGCGGUAAGACGAACCGUGCGAACGUUGUUCGGAAUCACUGGGCUUAAAGGGCGCGUAGGCGGGCUGCCGCGUCCGGGGUGAAAUCCCACGGCUCAACCGUGGAACUGCCUCGGAUACGGGCGGCCUCGAGGGGGGUAGGGGCAUCUGGAACUGUGAGUGGA
rnacentral:rRNA from 1 species